rnacentral:rRNA from 1 species
GAUGAACGCUGGCGGCGUGCCUAAUACAUGCAAGUCGAGCGAACGGACGAGAAGCUUGCUUCUCUGAUGUUAUCGGCGGACGGGUGAGUAACACGUGGAUAACCUACCUAUAAGACUGGGAUAACUUCGGGAAACCGGAGAUAAUACCGGAUAAUAUUUUGAACCGCAUGGUUCAAAAGUGAAAGACGGUCUUGCUGUCACUUAUAGAUGGAUCCGCGCUGCAUUAGCUAGUUGGUAAGGUAACGGCUUACCAAGGCAACGAUGCAUAGCCGACCUGAGAGGGUGAUCGGCCACACUGGAACUGAGACACGGUCCAGACUCCUACGGGAGGCAGCAGUAGGGAAUCUUCCGCAAUGGGCGAAAGCCUGACGGAGCAACGCCGCGUGAGUGAUGAAGGUCUUCGGAUCGUAAAACUCUGUUAUUAGGGAAGAACAUAUGUGUAAGUAACUGUGCACAUCUUGACGGUACCUAAUCAGAAAGCCACGGCUAACUACGUG